UUCCGCACUGCAUUUGCACAGCUUCCCCACAGCUAGUGGCUUCUCAGGAGUGGCUCCAGGCUUCCGUUCCAAGAUGGCUCCCAGCCACACCCCCGUAGUCCACACUCUGCAGCAGGCCCCGCCCAUUGGAAGAACUAGCCAAUCAGGAGACACCUGCCCAUUGAAGAAGAAAUGGCUGAUUCUCCAGUAAAUGCAUCCCAGGCUAUGGUGACAUUCAGGGAUGUGGCUGUCAACUUCUCCCAGGAGGAAUGAAUGCCUGGACUCUGCUCAGAAGGCUUCGUACAUUGAUUUGAUAUUGGAGAAUUACAGUAACCUCGUCUGAAUGGGCUGUGUUGACAUUCAGUGAUGUGGCUGUGGACUUCUGACAGGAGGAGAGGGAAUUUCUAGAUCCUGCUCAGGAGGCUUUUCACAGAGACCUGACGCUGGAGAAUUACAGCUAUCUUGUUUUUGUUGAGCUCAACUCUUAGAAGACACCAGAGGAUGUACAACAUAGAGAAACACUGCAAAUGUGAAGAAUGUGACACGUCCAAUACCCAUGUCUCAAAUUCUCAAAAGCAUAAAUACAUUCAUACUGAAGAGAAACCCUACAGAUGUGAUGAAUGUGACAGGUCCUUUAUUUUGAUGUCAAGUUUCAAAUUACAUCAGAGAGGUCAUACUGGAGAGAAACCCUAUCAAUGUGAAGAAUGUGGCAAGUUCUUUAGUCAAAGAUCACAUCUUAGAGCAUAUCAACAAGUACAUACUGGAGAGAAAGCCAUACAGAUGUGAAGAAUGUGGCAAGUCCUUUAGUGAAAUGUCAAGUCUAGACCACAUCAAUGAAUACAUACUGGAGAGAAACCCUACAGAUGUGAAGACUGUGGCAAGUCCUUUAGUGUAAUGUCAAAUCUUAGAGCACAUCAGCAAGUACAUACUGGAGAGAAACUCAACAGAUGUGAAGAAUGUGGCAAGUCCUUUAGACAUAUGUCAGAUAUUAGAGCACAUCAGGGAAUACAUACUGGAGAGAAACUCUACAGAUGUGAAAAAUAUGGCGAGUCCUUUAGUCUAAUGUCAUUUUAGCACACAUCAGCAAAUGCAUACUGGCAAGAAACCCUACAGAUGUGAAGAAUGUGGCAAGUCCUUUAGACAUACGUCAAGUCUUAGCACGCAUCAGCGAAUACAUACUGGAGAGAAACCCUACAGAUGUGAAGAAUGUGGCAAGUCCUUUCGUAAAAUGUCACAUCUUAGACGAUAUCAGUGAAUACAUACUGGAGAGAAACUCUACAAAUGUUAAGAAUGUGUCAAGUCCUUUAGUCAAAUGUCACAUCUUAGAGUACUUCAGCAAAUACAUACUGGAGUGAAACACCACAGAUGUGAAGAAUGUGACAAGUCUUUUAUGAUGAGUUCAACUUAUAAGAAACGUUAGAGAACUCCUAUUAGAGAGAAUCCCUACAAAUGUGAGUGUCGCCUGAGUUCUCUUAGGGUCCCUUGCUCCUGGUGCUAUUAGACA